rnacentral:pre_miRNA from 1 species
AAAAAGGCAAACCCUGGGUUUUCGUGUCCAACGUUUGACUGUCCGUCUUAUAUGAAUUUUUUUUAUAAUUAGUAUUUUCAUUAUUGUUAGAUGAUAAAACAUGAUUAAUACUUUAUGCGUGACUUGUCUUUUUAAUUUUUUUCAUAAUUUUUUCAAAUAAGACGGACGGUCAAACAUUGAACACGGAAACUCAGGGUUUGUCUUUUU